rnacentral:tRNA from 1 species
GCCUGGCUGGCUCAGUCAGAAGAGCAUAUGACUCUUGAUCUUAGAGUUGUGAGUUCAAGCCCCUCUUUGGGUG